rnacentral:lncRNA from 13 species
CCGUUAAUGUGCCAAAUCCUCCAGCUGCCGAAUUGCAGUUCCAGUCAACAUCUGAGAUUAUAAUGGACGAGACACGAUUAGUGCCUUCUAUUGAUGUUCCAAAUCCUUCAGCUGCCGAACUGCAGUUCCAGUUAACAUCUGAUUAUACAAUGGACGAGACACAAUCAGUGCCUUCUAU